UACGAAGGGGGCUAGCGUUGUUCGGAUUUACUGGGCGUAAAGCGCACGUAGGCGGAUUGCUAAGUCAGGGGUGAAAUCCUGGAGCUCAACUCCAGAACUGCCUUUGAUACUGGCGACCUUGAGUCCGGGAGAGGUGAGUGGAACUGCGAGUGUAGAGGUGAAAUUCGUAGAUAUUCGCAAGAACACCAGUGGCGAAGGCGGCUCACUGGCCCGGUACUGACGCUGAGGUGCGAAAGCGUGAGGAGCAAACAGG
rnacentral:rRNA from 1 species